UUUUGAAAAAAAAUAGUCUAAUAAGACAUAAAGUAAUAGAUAUUAGUCUAAAAAUACAUAGUUACCAUUUUUUUGCUCUAAAAAAACAAUUUUCCCUUUUUAGUUUUAGGCAUCUCGAGGUUUGGUUACCACACAGUUUCCUCUUUUGUGUGUUCUGUUUGUUUAAUUUUCAUGCUUUUGGAGUUUUUGUUUUAACUCUUUGCAUUAUUUUUUCUUCUCUUGAUUCAAUAUGGUAGAUGUUGAAACAACUAUUUAACAUACUCAAGGAGUUAUGUAUUCAAUAUAACAUUUGAGGUGAUUUGACUUUUAAUGAAAAUUUAGAUGAUUUCAAUAAGUUAUAGAGAUUUAGGUGAUUUUUGUUAAACCACUCUAGAAUAUACCUUAAAACAUGAAAUUUGGGUUUUAAUUUUUUUAACUAAGAAACUCCACCAAAACACCAUAAAAUCACCUGAAAACUUUAAAACUCCAAACUUAAAAUAUUUUCAAUAACAGUGGAUUUUAGAGUACUCUACGAAAUGUUAAGCUCAAUAAGAAUGAAAUUUAAAUGAAUUUUUAAAAUUCAUGUUUGAAUACUAAUGGAUUUAUCGUUUUAAUAUAAAUCACCUAAAAUCUCUCGGUUGAAUACGUUAUUCGUAAAAGAAGUGUUUGAAGCGGUGGAAUAAAUUGAAUCAAGUCGGGUAGCAUUAGAUUGUUUGUGGUACUUAAGAAUCCGGUUUGGAGUAAGCACGUCCACUGUGAAAUAAGACCUCCCCGAAAUGAAAACGAAUGGGCUUUCUUCAAGUCAGGCCUGUAAUGAAUUAAAAGGCCCAUUAAUCUGACCCAUUUUAUCUGAAGUUUACGCCCUAGAAAACCCUAACUCCUAACAUCACCAUGUAUAUAUACUAAACACUGCCGGCGAGAGAUGUAAUCAUUCAUUCGUUCUCCUCUUGAUCGAUCGCUUGUAUACUUAUCAGCCGAACCUUUCAAGCCGUAUGCGUAAACUUCAGUUCUGACUUCAGAAGCGACUUGCUUUGUUGACCAUUGCCAUAAUGAGUCCUUGUAUGAAAUGCGAAGAAACAAAUUAUUCUAAAGGAAAAAGUUUUAGUUAUUUCCUUAUUCAAAAUUAUGUCUAUUUUGCAGCUGGGAAAUUUUUCCUUAAAUAUUAAUUUCUUAAAUUGUUAUGAAGGUGCAUAUUAUUGAACAAGAACAAUAAAUUUCCCGCCAUUUUUGAGAAAAAUGUUUGUGGCUAUGUCUUAAAUAUUUCUAUUUUGUAGACGUAUUCAAUGUAUAGCCCAAUAAACUUGCACAUUAAUCAAACAAACCAUUUCAUGAA